rnacentral:rRNA from 1 species
GACGAACGCUGGCGGCGUGCUUAAUACAUGCAAGUCGAGCGAGGUCCAUCUGGUGGCAACACCAGUGAAGGCCGAGCGGCGAACGGGUGAGUAACACGUGAGCAACCUGCCCCGAAGUCUGGAAUAACAUCGGGAAACCGGUGCUAAUACCGGAUCGCCCCACCUGACCGCAUGAUCGGGUGAGGAAAGAUUUAUCGCUUCGGGAGGGGCUCGCGGCCUAUCAGCAGUUGGUGGGUAACGGCCUACCAAGGCAUCGACGGGUAGCUGGUCUGAGAGGACGACCAGCCACACUGGGACUGAGACACGGCCCAGACUCCUACGGGAGGCAGCAGUAGGGAAUCUUGCGCAAUGGGCGAAAGCCUGACGCAGCAACGCCGC